GUGGGGAAUUUUGGACAAUGGGCGCAAGCCUGAUCCAGCCAUGCCGCGUGCAGGAUGAAGGCCUUCGGGUUGUAAACUGCUUUUGUACGGAACGAAAAGACUCUGGUUAAUACCUGGGGUCCAUGACGGUACCGUAAGAAUAAGCACCGGCUAACUACGUGCCAGCAGCCGCGGUAAUACGUAGGGUGCGAGCGUUAAUCGGAAUUACUGGGCGUAAAGCGUGCGCAGGCGGUUAUGUAAGACAGAUGUGAAAUCCCCGGGCUCAACCUGGGAACUGCAUUUGUGAAUGCAGAGCUAGAGUACGGCAGAGGGGGAUGGAAUUCCGCGUGUAGCAGUGAAAUGCGUAGAUAUGCGGAGGAACACCGAUGGCGAAGGCAAUCCCCUGGGCCUGUACUGACGCUCAUGCACGAAAGCGUGGGGAGCAAACAGGAUUAGAUACCCGUGUAGUCC
rnacentral:rRNA from 1 species